rnacentral:rRNA from 1 species
CCUACGGGAGGCAGCAGUGGGGAAUAUUGGGCAAUGGGCGCAAGCCUGACCCAGCAACGCCGCGUGCAGGAAGAAGGCUUUCGGGUUGUAAACUUCUUUUAAGGGGGAAGAGCAGAAGACGGUACCCCUUGAAUAAGCCACGGCUAACUACGUGCCAGCAGCCGCGGUAAUACGUAGGUGGCAAGCGUUGUCCGGAUUUAGUGGGUGUAAAGGGCGUGCAGCCGGAGAGACAAGUCAGAUGUGAAAUCCACGGGCUCAACCCGUGAACUGCAUUUGAAACUGUUUGCCUUGAGUGUCGGAGAGGUAGGCGGAAUGCCUGGUGUAGCGGUGAAAUGCGUAGAUAUAAGGAAGAACACCGGUGGCGAAGGCAGAUUACUGGACGAUAACUGACGGUGAGGCGCGAAAGCGUGGGGAGCAAACAGGAUUAGAUACCCGAGUAGUC